GUUUCAUCCUCCGAUUCUGGAACCAGAUCUUCACCUGAGUGUCAUUGAGGCCCAGGGAUUUGGCGAUCUCCACGCGCCGGGCCCGGAUCUUAAAACCCUUUUCCAUUGAAUGGAAGAAAAGUACCGUCAACAUCAGCAGAACUUGUCUCCAGAAUGGAAGAUUGCACAGGUACUUGGGAGUAAGCCCCACGAAGUUCAGUGGGGCUCACUUCCGAGUUAACCAGCGCAGAACCAGGAGGGAGGGGCGCGAGGUGGGACGUGUCGGUUUCAGACUCAGAACCCAGGACCCAAGGAUGACAACUUGAAUAAAAUAUUGGGGGCCCAAGUAAGCCCUGCCCCGCGUAAUAGAUCACAAAACGCGGCGCGCAUACACCAUUUUAAUAGCAAUGCUCAUUAACUUUGGGGGGCGAAGGGACUCUUAAGAGUUGCCUCCUACGCUAGGACCCGAGUAUUGGACAGCCCACAGCUCACUUGGCGCGCCCAAGGCGCGACACUUACUUUUCGGGGGCGCGUUCCUCUUGACUUUCAUCCACUCGAACGUGCUGAGCGCGAUCCGGGAGCCGGCCUUGACGCAGAAGUCCGAGGAAGGGGGCGGCGGGGGCGGCGCAUCCUUGGCGCAAGGCUGGAAGGUGUCGCUGAGCGCGCCGUAGUCCACUUGGAGGUAAGGGCUGCCGCCGCCGCCGCCACCACCCGCAAAGAUAGACGUGGUGGCGUAGUGGAGGGGAGCGCCGGCCUCGUCUGGGCCGCCGGGGGCCGCGUAAGGCGCCUCGGGCCGCAGCAAGCUGUACUCUGCCGCCGCAAAAGCGCUGCGCGCCAGGGCGCAAGGCGCCAGCUGUUGCUGCGGUUGCGCCGAGCGCGGGGAGAAGUCCGGCAAGCUUCCUGCCGCCGGCGUGGGGUAGGCGCCUUCCCCGCCUGCGGACAGGGGACAGGGCGGCCGCAGAGCCACGCCACCGGGCUCGGAGCUCCCGAAUUUGGUCGCCAAGCUCAAACCAUCUCCGCCCCGCGCGAGAUACUCCAGGAAGGAGUUCAUGGCGGGUCCCUGAGCAAGCGGAGAGCGCGCCGGAGAAGGGGCAGCAGGGCGACUACGAUGUAAUCACGGCGCCCGCUGCGCUCUCUGGACCACCUCCUCCUCCCUCAACCAUGGUAAAGCCGGCUGGGAGGGUAAAUAAGUGCCCUAAUAUAGAGCCAGGGGAGCUGGCACGUGCUCGCCUGCUGGCCAAUGGGAGCCGCGAGUUAGGCACGCGACCUGGGAUGCAGCCGGCCCGUCCCGGGCAUCACCAGCCACAACUUUGCCAACGGAGAAGAUGAUGCAGGAAGCAGCAGCAGCGGUGUGGGCGGGGGCGCAGGGAGGUGCCUAGUCAUGCCUAAGCCUCCGAGGAGGGUUAGGGACCCAGAGAGAGAGAGAGAUCCCGGAACCAACUCUUAGAGGCUGAGGUCCCUUCGUGUCCGCCCGCCCACUAAAACAGUUGAGGGGACCGGGCCCCCAAAGUUGAUGGGCAUUGCCAUUCAGGUGCGUGCGCCCCAUGAUGAACGCCGUGAUUAUGUAGGGCGGGGCUUACCGGACCCACCCCCUCAAUAUUUCAUUCCAGUUGGCACCGCUGCCCCAGCUACACACACACAUCUUUUGACACUGUUCUCAGGGAGUCCUCUAUGAUGAGCGAAAGGCUGAAUAGUUUGUUUUGUGCCACCUCUGGCUUCGCUUCCCAAAGAGCGGAUAACAAAUAACCUCAGCUCGGGGUUCCUCGACCUCCAGGCUGACGAGGCUACAGUCUUCUUUACGCGCACCGACUUGGGAGUCAACCUGAACUUCUUGGAACUGCUUUCCUCAACUGCGCCGAGCCAUUUCUCCAGCAAUUGCUUCCUCACUCCAGUUUGGGGCGGGGAGCUCCAAACCUUGGCGCGCUCCAGCACUGCUGCCGCCUUCCAUCCUGCCCUGCCCUGCCCCAAAGACGUGUAAGCUCUCGUCCUGCCAGGCUGGACAUUAAGACGGGACUCGAGGUUCUUCCGGAACAUAAUAUGGCAGGUGCUUCCACGCUGCAGCUGCUGUAGUUCAAAGGGGAGUGGGGUGGGCGAAGUUCUCCACUCAGUCUAAAGUCCUCGGUCCUCUCUGUCUUGAUGUGAACGGCAGCACUGUGGUUUCCAGUGAAACUAAGUUAUUGGAGUGAGGGUGGUUCGCUGCAACCUUUUCCUUCUGUCUUUGCUCCAAGAACUGAAGCACAUCAUCUCCCCCCCCCCCCGCGUGCGCUUUCGAAUGAGUCUUUGAGCUAGGCUAAAAAGCAUCCGGAAGCCAAAACAGACCAGGAUGGUGUCAACAAUGCGCGCUACUGUACGGAGCAGCUAUUAAUGGUCCUCGGGCAGCCAGAAGCUGAUAUACUCUGAAGAAGGAAUGAUGAAGCACGUGGAUUAAAUUUUUAAAAGAAACAGAAAAGGGGGAGGACAAAUGGUUCACCAAAUGGUCAGCAAGCCCUACUCUGAGGGCCAUUUGUUCAGAUUUUCUCUGGAGUGAUAAAGCAAGGCCUCAGUAAGGCACACAUACGUAGGAACUUCUAAAAAUAUCCUAUAUGGUUUGAAGGAAGAGGAAGUAUGUGUCCUUUGACACAACUGAUGUAGAAUAAUAGAAUUCAGCCACACGGAUGCUACUAGCCCAGAGAUGAAAGGGCAAAUCAAGUUGA